GAUCAUGGCUCAGGAUGAACGCUGGCGGCGUGCCUAAUACAUGCAAGUCGAACGCGAGCACUUGUGCUCGAGUGGCGAACGGGUGAGUAAUACAUAAGUAACCUGCCCUAGACAGGGGGAUAACUAUUGGAAACGAUAGCUAAGACCGCAUAGGUACGGACACUGCAUGGUGACCGUAUUAAAAGUGCCUCAAAGCACUGGUAGAGGAUGGACUUAUGGCGCAUUAGCUUGGG
rnacentral:rRNA from 1 species